rnacentral:rRNA from 1 species
GACGAACGCUGGCGGCGUGCUUAACACAUGCAAGUCGAACGGAAAGGCCCUGCUUUUGUGGGGUGCUCGAGUGGCGAACGGGUGAGUAACACGUGAGUAACCUGCCCUUGACUUUGGGAUAACUUCAGGAAACUGGGGCUAAUACCGGAUAGGAGCUCCUGCUGCAUGGUGGGGGUUGGAAAGUUUCGGCGGUUGGGGAUGGACUCGCGGCUUAUCAGCUUGUUGGUGGGGUAGUGGCUUACCAAGGCUUUGACGGGUAGCCGGCCUGGGAGGGUGACCGGCGACCUUGGGACUGAGAUACGGACCAGACUCCUACGGGAGGCAGCGGUGGGGAAUAUUGUCCAAUGGGCGGAAGCCUGAUGCAGCAACGCCGCGUGCGGGAUGACGGCCUUCGGGUUGUAAACCGCUUUCGCCCGUGACGAAGCGUGAGUGACGGUAAUGGGUAAAGAAGCACCGGCUAACUACGUG